AUUGAACGCUGGCGGCAUGCUUUACACAUGCAAGUCGAACGGUAACAGGUUAAGCUGACGAGUGGCGAACGGGUGAGUAAUGCAUCGGAACGUGCCCGGUCGUGGGGGAUAACGCAGCGAAAGCUGCGCUAAUACCGCAUACGAUCUGAGGAUGAAAGCGGGGGACCGUAAGGCCUCGCGCGAUCGGAGCGGCCGAUGUCAGAUUAGGUAGUUGGUGGGGUAAAGGCUCACCAAGCCAACGAUCUGUAGCUGGUCUGAGAGGACGACCAGCCACACUGGGACGGAGACACGGCCCCGACUCCUACGGGAGGCAGCAGGGGGGAAUUUUGGACAAUGGGCGAAAGCCUGAUCCAGCAAUGCCGCGUGCAGGAAGAAGGCCUUCGGGUUGUAAACUGCUUUUGUACGGAGCGAAAAGGUCUCCUCUAAUACAGGGGGCUCAUGACGGUACCGUAAGAAUAAGCACCGGCUAACUACGUGCCAGCCGCCGCCGUAA
rnacentral:rRNA from 1 species